GUCCGCGUGGUCCAAUGGAAAGGAUGGCUGCCUGCGAAGAAGCCGGUGGGGGUUCGACUCCCCCCGCGGACA
rnacentral:tRNA from 1 species